GACGAACGCUGGCGGCGUGCUUAACACAUGCAAGUCGAACGGAAAGGCCCUGCGUUUGUGGGGUUCUCGAGUGGCGAACGCGUGAGUAACACGUGAGUAACCUGCCCUUGACUUUGGGAUAACUUCAGGAAACUGGGGCUAAUACCGGAUAGGAGCUCCUGCUGCAUGGUGGGCAUUGGAAAGUUUCGGCGGUUGGGGAUGGACUCGCGGCUUAUCAGCUUGUUGGUGGGGUAGUGGCUUACCAAGGCUUUGACGGGUAGCCGGCCUGAGAGGGUGACCGGCCACAAUGGGCCUGAGAUACGGAGCAGUCGCGUAUGUGAGGCAAUAGUGGGGAAUCUUACACAGUGAGCGGAAGCCUGAUGCAGCAGCCUUGCGUGCGGGAUGACGGCCUUCGGGUUAUAAACAGCUGUCGCCUGUGACGAAGCGUGAGUGACGGUAAUGGGUAAAGAAGCACCGGCUAACUACGUG
rnacentral:rRNA from 1 species